GCUGAUGUUUAAGUUUCAAUUUCCCAUCUUGGCUGAUUGCUAGUUAACUAUGUGUUGGUAAUCAUUAUCAUAGUAUUUUAAAGAGAUUUAUUCAAUUAUCAUACUUGAGUACUACUGCUAAUUGAUUUAUGCUACUCAGCCACGUCCUUUUGUUUUUUCAUCAUACUUGAGUAUUGUGUGUUUGUGUUUAUUAUUCCGUUUAUAAUUUUUACUUCCUUUACUUGCUCCUUGCUUUGAUUAUCCAACUGGGUUACUUUCUAAAAUACAAUUAGGUUUGGUUUUCAAAAGUAAGUUGUCUUACAGCAAUAAGUUGGAUAUUAUAUAUAGGGAGCUUUUGUAACAUUACUCUUGUGCUUCCAGAGACUGGUUUAUGAAUGACUUUUGGGGAUUUGAGAUUUUGAUUAGGCUUGUUUUGUUGUCUGUUUUAGAUCAUCAAACACUGCUACAAAUGUCAUUCAGACACCUUCACAAGCUAAGCAAUAUAGAACUAUUGUAAAGAGACAAAUGAGGGGAAUGAAUGCUUCUGAGCUAGACAAAAAAGUACAUAGAGUAUUCGUUCUUUGGUUCGCCAAUCAUAUUGGAAACAAUCUUGAUAGUCAUAGCGGACCAGAUGAAGAUGUUCUUAAUAGUCUUGCACAAGGUCCUUGGUCAAGCUAGAAGGCACUGCUUGCAAACCUGGAUUCCAUGUAUGCUGAUAUCUAGGAAAUGUUAAACAAUUUGGGUGACCUAUUAUGUACCAUAGCUGGAUUUGACUUCUCUUGACAGAAUUAAAAGGUCUGAGGACAUCCCUGUG